rnacentral:lncRNA from 1 species
AAGUAAUUAAGACUUGCUUAAAAAUGUUCAAAUGAUCAUUAAUUAUCACUUUGAAUUUCAGAUUGCAUAUCUGCAGAUAAAACCAGGCAUCAUCCAUCAAUUUAUCCACAGCUCGAUUUAGCAACUACUGCAAACCGUCAGCAAUUCCUAUUUGCAGCUGAAGCACAAAACAAUAGUGUAAGCAACCCAGCUGGACAUUCAUAUAGCAAUUUGGCGACUCUUUUAAGCCCAGUGCCUCUGAACCCAGUAAAUCUGCAGACUGGACAUACCACAUCAUUAAAUGGACCGUCACCAGCAGCUGCAUCAAAGAACAAGUCACCAUCACCUCAUUACUACGAGAUCAUGGAAUUUGAUCCCUUGGCUCCCACUGAGUAAGUAACUUUUAAAAUAGAUAAUAUACAGUUUUCUUAGGUGUCAAAGGCAAGAAGAAUUCUGAGAUGUUUUCUUUUGAGGGAGAAAACAGACCAUACUAUUUAGAUUGUGUUAGCUGAUCAACUGGAUAACUAACAUAAAUGAGAGUGGCUGCUUUUUGUACAUUUUCUUCCAGUAUUUCUGGCAUAACCAAUUAAAGAAUGAGCUCCUAUAGUGUGCUUAUUGAAUGUCAUCUGUAAAGCUGGUAAUACUGUGUCAAAAGUGAUCUACUAAAAUCCUAUCCAGUGACAUGAAAAGGUG